rnacentral:lncRNA from 1 species
AGAAAUUUACGAAAAAAGCUACUAUAUAACGCAAAAUUACUUGCAUCUUAUCGCAAAAGGCUCUGGACAGGCACCUAACAUUUUAGGACUACCAAAAUUUGCGAAAAACAGCGACGUGGCAAGGGACACGGCAACUGGAAACAAAGGGGAAGACGUUUGGCGUAAAAUUAUCAACCCUACAAGAAGGAAGAAGAAAUAGCAAAAAAUUUCAAACCAGGUGUUUGAAAGGUUGACACAGGGAAUCACGAUGAAGUCACUUGCAAAACUGUGAGUAAUUUGAUAACCGUACAGUUCAACCAACAAGAAGAGCAGCUUUCUCUCAGAUGUCAAAAUGAAAAAAGAUUCUUCUACAACUUCGCCACGAUUUAAGCACGUGAAUUAGACCGGGCUCUAAGCCUGUUCAAGCUUCUGCAGUUAUAGGUUAGCCGUGUUAUAUAACAGCGGUAGCCGCUGUAGGGUCCCCAAAAUAAACGGAGUAAAAUUGAAAAUGUUUAAUCGUGCAAAAGCAAAAAUAGACGUUGUAGAGAGUGGAGACAUAUAAUUGACAAAACCGGCCGUGUAGUUAUUCAACGCCGAGAAGCCUAUGCAGAUAGCCAGAUUCUUUCCAACAGUUUGGAUCUCUAAUCCUCUGCUCGCUAACGUCGCCUACUCAUAACCCGAAGCCAUACGCCAUCAACGACAAGAUCAAAAAAAGCAGGAUAUUUCAGCUGGCAUGGCAGCCAUCACAUCCUCAGCACAGUAACUUUGCAAGUGGAGAGAUAAGUGUUAGAUACAUGAUGUAUCGGGAAGAUCCUCACGAGUGGCUUUUCAAAUUGAACAAAGGCGUUUGUUCCUUCCAAAAGUACGCACAUUUUAUAGUGUCGAAUCCAUGCCACUGAGAAAUCGACAUGAUUCAACUCCAACGAGAUCGAUUUUGAUCGAUGAUUACUGUCUAGUAACGAGUCAAACGUUCCAUUAUUACAGUCGGAAAACUGUGAACCCAGUACUCUGUAGAAUGGCACUUACGGUACUAAAAAUUUAUUCCCAACUAUGAUAUCAUCAACGGCUCCUGUUCAAUGAAUCAUGAUUGGAAUGGUCAUGAGAAGGAAAGAGGCUUGGAACAAAGAGCAUGUGGGGGAAUGGAAGUGAAGAAAUAGAGAUUCUACCGUAUAACCUGCUCAUUGAUGAGCUUAUAAAAUAAUCUGUUCACACCACGGUUUCGAAGAAAAUUAUCGCUGCGCCAUGAAAUUUUACAAGGCGAAAAUCAAGAAUAUGAAAGUGGUGUUACUUACGCUCCGGUUUAGUGAUAGCCAUGUCGAAGGCACGAAACCGCACAAAAGGGAUUGUCUCACAAUGGUACAAGAAUAUGGAUAAUACAGUCUUUCACCGGCAAUUUCCGGCGCGAAAUCAGCAGCACCUCAACUUGAAAACAAAGCUUAAUAGGGCACAGAUUUAGAGCCACGGGCUGGGAUCGACCGGCAGCGAAAAGCGACUCCCGGCAAAGAAUUAGGCACCCCUAGUUUGAUCCGCACGAGGAAUUGGCAGAUUACCAACGUUCCUGGCAACGUCGAGUUAUAUUUAGUUUAACCGAGGCGAGGCAAACCAACGCUAGAACUUUGGAAUCCGCAGAUUGCGAACGACACUUGCGGGCUUUACGGUCUUCUUCUACCUGCUGCAGCUCAUCCGACACUGUCUGCGGCCGCCAUUUGCCCAGGCCACGAACCUCUGCUAAGUCUCUUCUUUGCUAGUAGUGCGUGCGUGAACAAAACGAUGGGCGGUACUUGUUUGGGGCUAAAGUAAGGCGAAAGUCCGGGUUCUCUUCGGUGACCGAAUCUCCGGCAAACUUGAAGACUGUCAGAGGGUUGAAAAUCGGAAAUUAACGCUUCACGGGCGCAUGGUAGAUUUUUGCAUCGAGAAAUGGAAACUUGAUUGCUUCACGGGGCAGAGUUCGGGAGUUAUUCAAGUUUGGAGAAGGAGAAGCAGGAUGAUUGAUGAGCAUUGACUCCGCGCAAGCAAACUGCUAACAAGGCGGAUGAGACCGAUUAAGAAUCCAAAUUGGAGAAAAUCAAACACCGAGGAAGAAGAGGACGACUUUGUUCUCACUCCAUGAGCGAUAUGCAGAGGGUGUUGGUGUUACCAAUUACCCAUUCCAACUGCAUGCUGCACCUUGAUUGCCAAUGUUCGAUUCCCAAUCAGGUUACGUUUUCCAUCAUGACUUAAUUCGGAUGUCUGAACAACUCGCCCAUUCUGUACCAAGAUUUAACUCUCUUACUCAAUGUAUAAGUGAAAUCUUUGUAUCCGCACAGUCAAUCAGAACCUAGAAUAAUUCUUUUCUCGUCAAAUAUGCGGACUGAUGUAAUUUCAUUAAACUGCAAAUGUGAAUUAUUGUAAUAUAAAUGAAGAUU